UGGACAUAUUAUUAUAUUCGACUAUAUUCACGGCGUGAAACAGAGGAUUACACUAUUUUUAAACGGAAAAAAUGAAUCAAUUAACAUAAUAGACUCCU
rnacentral:pre_miRNA from 1 species